rnacentral:lncRNA from 1 species
GGGUAAACCCUGCGGGCUGAGGAGGCAGCGGCGGAGGCUGGGCGCACGUGGGUGCUGCAGUAGCCGGCGGACGCCCAGGGCGCACGGGGGCGCACCGAGAGACCUCACCGAACCCAAAGAGCGUGCGCUUCGUCUCGCCCAAAACCACAGCGCUGGCUACAGAAACCCCUGAAAUCGGAAAUGCUCUAACCAAAGGUACUGAGAGCGAAUCUCAUCUUUCCCAUCGGGGAAAGUAGAUGUUAUUGACACAACAUAGAACUGUGACACAGCGA